rnacentral:lncRNA from 1 species
CAGUUGGGGAUAAUUUAUUUUUCUGUUGAAGGGUUUGAUAUUUAUUAGCACGGCAGCAAGCCGGUCAGCAGAGAUCCACACUCCAGGGGACGGGCUCUGUGUCCAGCUUCGUGGGCUUCUCCAUCCACCCUCUUCUGCUCUGGAGGCAGCAACCCGAGUACUCUGUCUCUUGGAGAAGGAAGUUCAGGGUAGUCUCUUCCCCUGGGGGGCUGGGCCCCCAGCUGUGAGGGUACAAGGCCAGCCUUCCCCAGCACAGAGGUAAGAUCCCAGAUCCUUCUCUCUCUUCCUCAGGAGAGCCAGCAAGACCUAUGGCAUGCAGAGAAGGACUCAUCACAGAAAUGCAUGCAUCUGUGAGGACAACACCUUGCCUCGGCAGCCAAAGAGUAUCUGGUCGGCAAGAGAUUACUCAGGAAUUCCCAGCCUUGAGAAAUUUGGUGGAGGUUCCUGGAGGCCUCAGAUGAUGGGAGACUGACAGCAGCCCAAGGCCAAGCAGCAGAUGGUGCCCGCGUUCCAGCGGGACUGCAUCAGUGCCGAACACUGGCAGGGCACAGGCUCACCCAGGCUGACCAGCAGCAUGUCACAGCCCCAGUCCACAUGCUGAACCCACCGGCCAAUCACCACAGGUCCCGGCUCAUUGUUUUCUUGAGUUCA